rnacentral:rRNA from 1 species
UACGGAGGGAGCUAGCGUUGUUCGGAAUUACUGGGCGUAAAGCGCACGUAGGCGGCUUUGUAAGUUAGGGGUGAAAGCCCGGGGCUCAACCCCGGAACUGCCUUUAAGACUGCAUCGCUUGAAUCCGGGAGAGGUGAGUGGAAUUCCGAGUGUAGAGGUGAAAUUCGUAGAUAUUCGGAAGAACACCAGUGGCGAAGGCGCUCACUGGACGGUAUUGACGCUGAGGUGCGGAAAGCGUGGGGGAGCAAACAGGG